rnacentral:rRNA from 1 species
AGCUCCAAUAGCGUAUAUUAAAGUUGCUGCAGUUAAAAAGCUCGUAGUUGGAUUUCUGGCUUGCACCAUUCGGCCGGCCACGGUUUCGUGUGUUAGUGCUGAAUGUUCUGGCCAUCCUUCCAAUUGCUGCGUGCUCUUCUUCAUUGAGGGGUGCGUGGUGUUGGAUCUUUUACUUUGAAAAAAUUAGAGUGUUUCAAGCAGGCUUUAUGCUAUGAAUACAUUAGCAUGGAAUAAUAAUUUAGGACUUCGGUUCUAUUUUGUUGGUUUCUAGGACUGAAGUAAUGAUUGAUAGGGAUAGUUGGGGGUGCUAGUAUUCAGCGGCCAGAGGUGAAAUUCUCGGAUUCGCUGAAGACUAACUUAUGCGAAAGCAUUCACCAAGGAUGUCUUCU